rnacentral:rRNA from 1 species
UCGAGCGAACAGAUAAGGAGCUUGCUCCUUUGACGUUAGCGGCGGACGGGUGAGUAACACGUGGAUAACCUACCUAUAAGACUGGGAUAACUUCGGGAAACCGGAGCUAAUACCGGAUAACAUAUUGAACCGCAUGGUUCAAUAGUGAAAGGCGGCUUUGCUGUCACUUAUAGAUGGAUCCGCGCCGUAUUAGCUAGUUGGUAAGGUAACGGCUUACCAAGGCAACGAUACGUAGCCGACCUGAGAGGGUGAUCGGCCACACUGGAACUGAGACACGGUCCAGACUCCUACGGGAGGCAGCAGUAGGGAAUCUUCCGCAAUGGGCGAAAGCCUGACGGAGCAACGCCGCGUGAGUGAUGAAGGUCUUCGGAUCGUAAAACUCUGUUAUCAGGGAAGAACAAAUGUGUAAGUAACUGUGCACAUCUUGACGGUACCUGAUCAGAAAGCCACGGCUAACUACGUGCCAGCAGCCGCGGUAAUACGUAGGUGGCAAGCGUUAUCCGGAAUUAUUGGGCGUAAAGCGCGCGUAGGCGGUUUUUUAAGUCUGAUGUGAAAGCCCACGGCUCAACCGUGGAGGGUCAUUGGAAACUGGAAAACUUGAGUGCAGAAGAGGAAAGUGGAAUUCCAUGUGUAGCGGUGAAAUGCGCAGAGAUAUGGAGGAACACCAGUGGCGAAGGCGACUUUCUGGUCUGUAACUGACGCUGAUGUGCGAAAGCGUGGGGAUCAAACAGGAUUAGAUACCCUGGUAGUCCACGCCGUAAACGAUGAGUGCUAAGUGUUAGGGGGUUUCCGCCCCUUAGUGCUGCAGCUAACGCAUUAAGCACUCCGCCUGGGGAGUACGACCGCAAGGUUGAAACUCAAAGGAAUUGACGGGGACCCGCACAAGCGGUGGAGCAUGUGGUUUAAUUCGAAGCAACGCGAAGAACCUUACCAAAUCUUGACAUCCUUUGACCGCUCUAGAGAUAGAGUCUUCCCCUUCGGGGGACAAAGUGACAGGUGGUGCAUGGUUGUCGUCAGCUCGUGUCGUGAGAUGUUGGGUUAAGUCCCGCAACGAGCGCAACCCUUAAGCUUAGUUGCCAUCAUUAAGUUGGGCACUCUAAGUUGACUGCCGGUGACAAACCGG